UCCAGCUGUUUUGGGACUACAACUCCCAUCAUCCCUGAUAACUGGUCCUGUUAGCUAGGGAUGAUGGGCGUUGUAGUCCCAAAACAGCUGGA